rnacentral:lncRNA from 1 species
UUGGAAUCUCCUGGAAGCUCUUAAAAUGUUGAUGCCUGGGACCCUUGCCAAGAGAGUAUGGCCUAUUUGAUCUGUCACUGGAAUUUUAAAAAAAUUUCCCCAGCCCCGGGCCUCAUAAUUAUCUGGAACAGCUGUAACAGAUCUGCUUUCACUGGUCAUUAAAUCGUAUUGUAAGCUGUGGAUCCCUUCUUUCUGAACACCAAAGAAUGUGCUGUUAAAUCAAGUGUCCAGGUGCAAAGGUGGUUUCUAAAUGAAGAGUUAGGAAAAUUGUCUCAAGUCAUCAACUCAUAUUAACUGUCAGGACUUCCUUGCCUUCUCCUUGCAAAUGUUAUGUGAAAUCUGAGGAAGAGUACUUUGAAAAAUAUUAAAUUUGGUUAUUCUCCCUUAUAAAUGAGAACCUUCAUUCUGUGUUCUAGAUCUGUCUGGAACAUGCCUCUGAAUCCUAAGACAGGUCAGUCCCACAAGUAGCACCCUAUAUUUCCCACCUGGCACUUAUUGUAUUUUGUACUUGUUCGUUUGUUUGAUUGGUUGAUUAAUGUAAGAUUAUAAACUUCAGCAGUGAAAAAAAAAAGUUUGUUUUGCUUAUUUUCUAUAAGCUUAUUUCCUAGCACUGUGUCUAGAAUACAGUAGUAAGUCAAUAAAUAUUGUUUGAAUUAAAGGAUGGCCAUUUCUCAGACAGUCUUAAUCUUAGAGCAAAGGCAGGGAGUGUCUUCAUGAUGCCGUAAAUAAACACGGUUAUAUCAUUAGUAGAAUGCAAAAAUCGCAUAAGUAAAAGGGAAAGAGGGAGAAAAGAAGAAAAGGGAGGAAGGAAAGAAGGAAGGAAGGAAAGAAGGAAGAAAGAAAGGGAGAUAAGAAAGGGAGAAAGGGAGGGAAGGAGAGAGGAAGAGGGGAGACUAAGCAAGUCCUCUCUUUUCCUCUUCCUCUCCCAGUCCAAAAAUGCUUUUUUUAUCUUCAUAACUGGAGGUAGUUUUGCAACUUGGAGCAAGGCAUCUGUUAGGCUGCCACCUUCCCAUAGAGACUGGGAGAUAGGGGCCCUCUCUUCCUAGGACUACAUUUCAAAGACAUGGCUUAUAGCUCCUGGAGAAAGACUAUCCUGUGUUGUAAAACUGGGAAGAGGCUUUAAAAAGAUUUACAUGUCAAAGUGAAAGGGAAAGCAUUUACAAUGACAGGUUUUCUAAAGUAAAGGCUCUAAAAAAAGGAGGUUGGGGCCUAGUGCCACAAAGAAUCCUGCCUAAAACUUAGUUAAGGGGAGAGGAAUAUUAAGUCUGUCCUGGUCACCUGCAAAAGAGCAAUCUCUUCACACUGGAUGAGCUAUUCUAGGCCUAAAAAGUAUUUCCCUGCUUUAAGUCCCUACCCCACAGGAUCUCUGCUCAUGGUUAAAGAAAAGAAGUUGGGGCCGGGUGCAGUGGCUCACGCCUGUAAUCCCAGCAAUUUGGGAGGCUGAGGUGGGCGGAUCACGAGGUCAGGAGAUCGAGAUCAUCCUGGCUAACACGGUGAAACCCUGUCUCUACUAAAAAUACAAAAAAAUGAGCCGGCCGUGGUGGCGGGCGCCUGUAGUCCCAGCCACUCAGGAGGCUGAGGCAGAAGAAUGGCGUGAACCCAGGAGGCGGAGCUUGCAGUGAGCCGAGAUUGCGCCACUGCACUCCAGCCUGGGCGACAGAGCGAGACUCCGUCUCAAAAAAAAAAAAAAAAAAAAAGAAAAGAAAAAAAGAAAAGAAGUUGAAGGAGAUGAACUGAUCUCUGGGAAUAGAGUCUGCCGCCAUCCUUCCUGCAUCAACCAGGGGUGCUCUUCUCAGGGGUAAGAGUUUCAUUUUCUCCCAGUGAUAUAUUCAACCCUAAUUAAAUCAAUUUUCCUAACUUGCCCCUGAACCCCUGGACACUUAUACCCUAGGGUUAUUUUUUUUCUGGUAGAAAAGUCCUCAGGACUCCAUUAGAUUCCUGCACAUUCUCUGGAGCUGCUGGAUCUCAGAACCAUCCUGCUGAAAAGUGUUCCUUUCUAUUGCUCAUCUAGCUAUCUCAUUGAACCAGAGACCCUAGACCUGACCUAUGAGCCCUUCAACUGCCUCCCUCAUAUCUGGAAGUUCCCAAGCCAGGUUUCUCUGAGCAUGGUUUCAGCCAACCGUUUUCUGCCAUCAGCCUCUGCAAGAUGUGGCUGGACGUCAGCGUCCUUAGGCUAGGGGAAGACCUCUUGCCUUUGCAGCAUUGUUAGGGCCUCCUUUAUUCCUGAACCCUGCAGAGAACUGAUCUUCCUACUGUUUGAGUAACCACUGUUUUGUGGUAUUUGUGUGGUUUUGGCAGCCUAGGGCUCAAAACUCAGUGUGCAAACAGCAGCUGGCAGCAGUCAGAGGGCCUGUUUGUUUCUCUCAGCUCUACCUUUUCUGAAGAACCCAAGAGAAGCAAUUAGGCCAUACUUGAAAGUGAAGCCCUACAAAGAGUCUGCUCUCAUAACUUGUCUCUACUCUGCCUUGAACCUCCCAAGAGAAUAUUACUGCUCCAGCCUCCUUGCCAGGCGCUGCUGGUGGAAAUAGAAAACUAAAACUCAACCAUUCUGUGUCCAGCAAUAUCUUGCCCUUACUGUGUCUUUGCAGAGGGCUUCCCUUUUGUUACACCCUGAUUCUUGUAAAUAGCAUAUAUGGCUAGGUGUCAAGAGAGUUUCAUUUGUUUCUUUAUCUUGCUCAUAAUCUACAGAAGGAGGUAGGUUUGCAGUACAUUACUUCUUUCAAUUUUGAGCUAAAUUCAGUAUUUCUUACUCUACGGGUAAUGCAAAGUAGUAAUCUACAUGCCAGUACUACCCCUUACCUAACCUUCCUCCAAACUCCAUCCAGGUUAGUCAGCUUUUUUUUUUUUUCUUUUUUUAAACAAGGGGAAAUUCUGGAGAAAGUCAUCCUUGUUGGUAAAGCAAAAAGAUAAUGUUUUUAAUAGAAAUGGGUGAAGCAAAGAAUGUUUAUUCAUGCACAGAUAUGGCCUGAUAAAAUUUCUUUAUAAUAUUCCUGCUCAUGUCAAAGAGAUCCAGUAUCAAAAAAGGUAAAAGGACUACAACAUUCAAUUAAUAAAAUGCAGGCGGGCAAAGACAAGAGGUGGGGACCUUUAAGGAAAAGCACUAACAAGCUGCAUGUGGUGACUCACACCUGUAAUCCUAGCAGUCUGGGAGAUUGAGGAGGAAGGAUUGCUUGAUACUAGGAGUUUGAGACCAGUCUGGGCAACAUAGCAAGAUCCCUGUUUCUAAAAAAUAUAAAAAAAAUUAGCUGGGCCUUUUGGUGCAUGAAGAAAGAAAGAAAGAAAGAGAGAAAGAGAGAAAGAGAGAAUGAGAGAAAGAAAGAGAGAAAGAAAGAAAGAAAGAAAGAAAGAGAGAGAGAAAGGCAAAGCACUAACAAAAACCCAACUAUAUGAAGAAACAUAGGCCAUACUCUUGAAGGGAUAAUUAGUGUAGUUAAUAUUAAUUCUCCCCAUACUGAUCUAUAAAUAUGUGAUGGAAUUCUAAUCAAAAUCCUAAUGGUAUUUUUCACAGAAAUUGACAGGUCGUUCUUAACUCCAUAUGCAGUAUUAAAAGUCCAAAAUUAGCUAAUGCAUUAGCAAAAGGAACAAUGGUGGGAGAAUACCAUUCCAGAUAACAAGGUUUAAUAUAGUGUUAUAAUAAUUAAAACACUACAGAUAAAUAAAAGACAAUACAGAACUCAGAAAUACAAACAUGAACAUGAGGAAAUUGAAUAUGGCAAAGGUGGCGUUCCAAAUUAGAAGAAAAGCAUAGAUUGGUGUUAAAAGAAUUGGCUAUUCACAUGGAAAAAAUUAGAUAAUUAUCAC